UUGUUUGAAAGUCCCACAUUACCAGGGGGUUCAGAGAUUGUUUGUAUAAAGGAUAAGUUUUGCCAUAUCAACCUUUACACUGAACACAAAUCAUCACCAAACUGCUUACCACCAGUUUUUCAAAGUGAUGCACCCUGUACAGUCUUUGGUCCUGUUCAAAUGGAAUUUUUAUACAGUGAUGCUGGUAAAAUUUGCCAUUCUGACAUAGCUUACAGUACGGGAGGCUUGGCCAUUGGAACAAAAAAGGAUAUUUGUUUUCAGGCAAGUCAAGACGGAGAGACCAGAUGUUUUCUAUUGCAUAUAAUUGACAAUAGUAAAG